AGAGCGAACGCUGGCGGCAGGCCUAACACAUGCAAGUCGAGCGCCCGUAGCAAUACGGGAGCGGCAGACGGGAGAGUAACACGUGGGAACGUGCCCAUCAGUUCGGAACAACCCAGGGAAACUUGGGCUAAUACCGGAUACGCCCUUACGGGGAAAGAUUUAUCGCUGAUGGAGCGGCCCGCGUCUGAUUAGCUAGUUGGUGAGGUAAUGGCUCACCAAGGCGACGAUCAGUAGCUGGUCUGAGAGGAUGAUCAGCCUCACUGGGACUGAGACACGGCCCAGACUCCUACGGGAGGCAGCAGUGGGGAAUAUUGGACAAUGGGCGCAAGCCUGAUCCAGCCAUGCCGCGUGGGUGAUGAAGGCCCUAGGGUUGUAAAGCCCUUUCGGCGGGAAGAUAAUGACGGUACCCGCAGAAGAAGCCCGGCUAACUUCGUGCCAGCAGCCGC
rnacentral:rRNA from 1 species